UACAGAGGUCUCAAGCGUUGUUCGGAUUCAUUGGGCGUAAAGGGUGCGUAGGUGGCGCCGUAAGUCAGGUGUGAAAUUUCGGAGCUUAACUUCGAAACUGCAUUUGAUACUGCGGUGCUUGAGGACUGGAGAGGAGACUGGAAUUUACGGUGUAGCAGUGAAAUGCGUAGAUAUCGUAAGGAAGACCAGUGGCGAAGGCGGGUCUCUGGUCAGUUCCUGACACUGAGGCACGAAGGCUAGGGGAGCAAACGGG
rnacentral:rRNA from 1 species